rnacentral:rRNA from 1 species
AUUGAACGCUGGCGGCAUGCUUUACACAUGCAAGUCGAGCGGCAGCGCGGGGGCAACCCUGGCGGCGAGCGGCGAACGGGUGAGUAAUGCAUCGGAACGUAUCCUCGAGUGGGGGAUAACCCAGCGAAAGUUGGGCUAAUACCGCAUGAGCUCUGAGGAGGAAAGCGGGGGACCUGCGAGGGCCUCGCGCUGGAGGAGCGGCCGAUGUCCGAUUAGCUAGUUGGUGGGGUAAAGGCUUACCAAGGCGACGAUCGGUAGCUGGUCUGAGAGGAUGAUCAGCCACACUGGGACUUGGACACGGCCCAGACUCCUACGGGAGGCAGCAGUGGGGAAUUUUGGACAAUGGGGGCAACCCUGAUCCAGCCAUGCCGCGUGAGUGAAGAAGGCCUUCGGGUUGUAAAGCUCUUUCGGACGGAACGAAAUGGGCGGGACUAAUACUCCUGUCUGAUGACGGUACCGUAAGAAGAAGCACCGGCUAACUACGUG